UACGUAGGUGGCAAGCGUUGUCCGGAUUUACUGGGCGUAAAGAGCGCGCAGGCGGUUAAUUAAGUCGAAUGUGAAAGCCCCCGGCUCAACUGGGGAGGGUCAUUCGAUACUGAUUGACUUGAAGGCAGGAGAGGGUAGUGGAAUUCCCGGUGUAGUGGUGAAAUGCGUAGAUAUCGGGAGGAACACCAGUGGCGAAGGCGACUACCUGGCCUGUUCUUGACGCUGAGGCGCGAAAGCUAGGGGAGCAAACGGG
rnacentral:rRNA from 1 species